GUUGUAUGGUUAAGUGACUAAGCGUACAUGGUGGAUGCCUUGGCAGUCAGAGGCGAUGAAGGACGUACUAACCUGCGAUAAGCCGUGAGCAGUCGGUAAGAGACAUUACGACUCACGGAUUUCCGAAUGGGGAAACCCACUUAGCAUAAGCUAGGUAUCGCUGCGUGAAUACAUAGCGUAGCGAGGCGAACCGGGAGAACUGAAACAUCUAAGUACCCCGAGGAAAAGAAAUCAACCGAGAUUCCCUCAGUAGCGGCGAGCGAACGGGGAUUAGCCCUUAAGCAUCUUGGAAGUUAGUGGAACGGUCCUGGAAAGGCCGGCGAUACAGGGU
rnacentral:rRNA from 1 species